AGUCUGGUGCCAGCAGCCGCGGUAAUUCCAGCUCCAAUAGCGUAUAUUAAAGUUGCUGCGGUUAAAACGCUCGUAGUUGAAUUGUGGUCUUAGACAACAGUCCCCCUACAUAGGUGUGGCACGGUUGCUCGAGAUCUUCAUUCGUGGUUGCUGUUGUUGCUCUUCAUUGAGUGUCAAUGAUGCCUCGAGAUUUUACUUUGAAAAAAUUAGAGUGCUCAAAGCAGGUUGUGAUGCCUGAAUAAUGGUGCAUGGAAUAAUAGAAUACGUCUCUCGUUCUAUUUUGUUGGUUUUCGAACCGGAGAUAAUGAUUGAAAGGAACAGACGGGGGCAUUCGUAUUGCUGCGUUAGAGGUGAAAUUCUUGGAUCGCAGCAAGAUGAACAAUUGCGAAAGCAUUUGCCAAGAAUGUUUUCAUUAAUCAAGAACGAAAGUUAGAGGUUCGAAGGCGAUCAGAUACCGCCCUAGUUCUAACGGUAAACUAUGCCAACCAGCGAUUCGCCGAAGUUCAUUUAAGACUCGGCGAGCAGCUUCCGGGAAACCAAAGUGUUUCGGUUCCGGGGGAAGUAUGGUUGCAAAGCUGAAACUUAAAGGAAUUGACGGAAGGGCACCACCAGGAGUGGAGCCUGCGGCUUAAUUUGACGCAACACGGGAAAACUCACCCGGCCCGGACACUGGAAGGAUUGACAGAUUGACAGCUCUUUCUUGAUUCAGUGGGUAGUGGUGCAUGGCCGUUCUUAGUUGGUGGAGCGAUUUGUCUGGUUAAUUCCGAUAACGAACGAGACUCUACCCUAUUAAAUAGUGACAGUAUUGUAUUUUUUGUGCUGAUCACUUCUUAGAGGGACUGGCAAAUUGAAAGCUGCACGAAAAAGAGCAAUAACAGGUCUGUGAUGCCCUUCGAUGUCCGGGGCUGCACGCGCGCUACAAUGAAAGCGUCAACGUGAGUUACGUCCUUACCUGAAAAGGUUUGGCAAUCGAAUGAAACGUUUUCUUGAAUGGAAUAGGGAAUUGCAAUUGUUUCCCUUGAACGAGGAAUUCCCAGUAAGCGUGAGUCAUUAGCUCGCGUUGAUUACGUCCCUGCCCUUUGUACACACCGCCCGUCGCUACUACCGAUUGGAUGAUUUAGUGAGGUGUUUUGACUGGCGCCAGUAGUCGGAUGUAUUCGGCUUCGCGCCGGGAAAUUUCCCAAACCAAAUCAUCUAGAGGAAGUAAAAGUCGUAACAAGGUUUCCGUAGGUGAACCUGCGGAAG
rnacentral:rRNA from 1 species